UCGCAAUUUGCUCCUGAUUAGUUUAUCGUGUAGUGUCAAAUCUUAGUUAGUAACAAGAGUGUGUCUGCAAACCUCGCAUACAUAUCACACUCAAUUUUGGAACUUAUUUACGACGACUAAAGUCGUCUACGCAGGAAUGCAAAGUUCCUAUUUCAACCAGGACUUCCAGAUGUCGUAAUAAAGAGCUUUUUCAAAAAGUACGACGCGGACAACAGCGGAUUUCUCGACAAGAAGGAACUUUCAAGUUUACUGAAAGACGAUCUGGGCCUGACUACUGCCCAAACGGAAGUGUAUAUCCAUCUUCUGGAUGAAGAUGGCAACGCAAAAAUUAGUUCCGACGAAUUCUGCACCUGGCUUCGGAGCAACGAGCGAUUCAGUUUGGUGGUCGCGCUACUAUAGAGUGAGCAAAGCCGUGGAGCUGUUCAAAAAGUAUGACAGGGAUGGAAGUCAAAGUAUCAGUUGUAAUGAGUUUACAAACUUGUUGACCGAACUGGGUUACAAAAUGUCGAUUUUGACGCAGCAUUCAAAGCCCUUGAUGCUGACGGAAAUGGAACAAUAUCGUUUCCGGAGUUCCUUAAGUGGCUCAAUUGGGUCCCGUUAGAUUAACUAUUGCUCAUGAUAAACUUUACGCGAUCAAGAUUAUAUUUAGCUAAAUGCAAUUAUGUUAACGUCGAGAUAUAUGACUAACUAUUUGUGAAUGACAAAAAAACUGUUAAGUUUACGUCAAUAAAACAUUUUGGCUG